rnacentral:misc_RNA from 1 species
AACGCACAUUGCGCCCGCCAGUAUUCUGGCGGGCAUGCCUGUUCGAGCGUCAUUUCAACCAUCAAGCCCCCGGCUUGUGUUGGGGACCUGCGGCUGCCGCAGGCCCUGAAAUGCAGUGGCGGGCUCGCUGUCACUCCGAGCGUAGUAGUUACAUCUCGCUCUGGGCGUGCUGCGGGUUCCGGCCGUUAAAAGCCUUAUUUACCCAAGGUUGACCUCGGAUCAGGUAGGAAGACCCGCUGAACUUAA